AUUCUUCAAAAUACCAUCUCUCAUUGGAAAUGCUAAAUGCUAUGAAGAGGAAAAGAAGGUGAUGAAAACUCGAGAUCGAGAUCGAGAGAGAGAGGAAUCAUCAAAUAAAAUAUCAAGUACAAGCAGUCGUGGUUUGUUGGCAUCCGAAAACAGAAGGCCGUGUCACUAUUGAUCCUAUCGCACAUUUUCACUACUAAACGCUCAUAUCAUCAGCUCCGAUCCAAUCCAAGUCCAAUGGACGAAACACCAUCUCGCAAGCAUCAGGUAUCUUUAAGAGGAGCAAGUGCAAGGGAGAUUUCAAGGGACGCGCUUCUCCAGAAAGUCUCUCACGAAAGAGAGCUACGCAAUUAUGCUAGACGCGCUACUGCUUCUGCUAUCUUUAUUCAGAGGGUUUGGAGACGCUUCAUUGUAACAAAGAAAGUAGCAGCCGAGCUUCAAUUAGAAUGGGAAGCAGAAGCAGCAUUGGUGAAGAAUGAUUUAACCGUAAUGAGCGGUAGCUGGAUUUCCACUCGCGUUUUGAGACCUUUCCUUUUCUUUGUUCACUGUUUAUCGACUCGGCAUCACAAGAUUCGCGAUGCAGAUAUACCCUGCCUCCACACGUGCUUCAAGCUUCUUCUUGAAAGCAUCAAUUCUACUGAUUUAGGCAACAACUUUUGCGCCCUGGCGCUGGGUACGCCAGAAGAGAGAAGAACGUGGACUUACCAAUCUCAGAAGCUCGUUUCUCUCUGCUCAAUUAUCCUUGCGAACUGUGAUAAAUCUCAUCAACGGGCUCAAGAUAUCCUGGUUCUUACCUCUCUUGCGAUGCGUCUUCUUGUUGUCUUAACUGAUCAGAAGUGUUGGAAAAGCAUUACCAACAAUAGUCCUAAGGAUGCAGAUGUAGCAUGGAAGGAUUUGGUCAGGUUUAUGGCAAGACCUAAAAGUGGCUUGUACUUAUCCAUUAGACGAUACAUUAGCAAUUUGGAUAUUCAUUUUUGUCCACAAACAAGCACACUGGCACAGACAGAUGAUAGAUUCUUGAUCACUGCAAGUGCAAUAACUUUAGCUCUAAGGCCUUUUAACGUGACAAAUUUUGAUUUUAUUGGCCCUGACGUGGUGGACAUCAAUUCUGCCCCUGCACAGUACUAUUUGUUUCUACUCACAAUUCCCUGGCUCACUCAACGUCUGCCAGCUGUUCUUCUACCCGCUCUGAAGCACAAGUCUAUUCUCUCACCAUGUUUCCAGACUCUACUGAUAUUGAGAGAUAAUAUUUUAAAGGAGAUGUCAGAGAUGGAUCAAUUGAAAAUCCUGCAUUCUUCCAAAGCAAUUCCGCCAGUUGCUUGGGCUCUUGCAAACACCAUUUGCCUAGUCACAGGGGAUGAGAAUGAUUAUGCGGAACCUGGAGGCCUCAAUCAAGGACUGGACUACGCAGUCUAUGUCCAUGUUGUGAUCAUUCUUGCUGAAAACUUGUUGUCAUGGCUUGAUGAUGGUGGAUGGACUGAAAAGGAGAACCAAUAUGCUCAGGUCAUUGCAGAAACAUCUGCUGAGCCCUUCGGUAAAGCUUUGUGCGAGAUUGAAACAACAUGUGCCUUAAAGAUGACAUAUGUGAGCUUACUCAGACCUGUUUGUCAGCAGUGGCAUCUUACAAAACUUUUGGCAAUGUCAAAGAUGGAUGCCAAUAUUAAUGGGGAUGAGACUUUGCCCACAAAAACUCUGAAAUACUCAGGAAAGUUGAACCUUCUUGGUAUUGCAUAUUUCUAUUCUUGCAUGCUCCGAAUAUUUGCAAUCUUGAAUCCUACAGUUGGGUCAUUGCCUGUUCUCAAUAUGCUGUCAUUUACUCCUGGGUUUCCUGUUACCCUAUGGGAAGCAUUGGAAAAUUUACUUUUUCCUGGACAUGGAGACAUUUCUGUGGUUAAUGAUUUUCACACAAGGAAAGUUUCAGCAAACAAAAAUGAUGGGUUUCUCAAGAAACAACAAAAACAACCCAGUAAGGAUGGAGGUAAUAAGUUGGUCAACGUACUCCAUAAACUUACAGGAAAGUCACAAGCAGGGGUAGAUCACGGAGAUUCAGUUAAUGGGAAUCCUAGUGCACAGGUUGGUGAUGAUUUGCAUGAUGCUUGGGAUGUAGAACUGUUAAGGUGUGGUCCACAAAAGAUUUCAAGAGAAAUGUCAUGUCUUCUUCAUUUGUUCUGUGGGACCUACUCACACCUGCUGUUAGUUCUUGAUGACAUAGAGUUCUAUGAAAAACAGGUUCCAUUUAUGUUGGAGCAACAACAAAGAAUUGCAUCAGUGCUUAACACCUUAGCAUACAAUGGCUUGGCCCAUAGUAUAAGUCAGCAGGAUAGGCCCCUUAUGGAUUCCGCGAUCAGAUGCUUGCAUUUAAUGUAUGAAAGAGAUUGCAGGCAUCAGUUCUGCCCCCCUGUUUUGUGGCUUUCACCUGCUAGAAAGAGCCGGGCUCCAAUUGCAGUUGCUGCCAGAACUCAUGAAGCUAUGUCAGCUAAUAUAAAAUCAGAUGAUGCUCUGACUGUUCCAAGCAUGGGUUCUGUAAUCACGGUGACUCCACAUGUAUAUCCAUUUGAAGAAAGGGUUCAAAUGUUUAGAGAGUUCAUAAACAUGGAUAAAGUCUCUAGAAAAAUGGCUGGUGAAUUUACAGGACCUGGUUCACGAGCUGUGGAGAUUGUAGUUCGUCGCAGUCAUAUUGUUGAAGAUGGAUUUCAGCAGCUUAAUUCUCUUGGGUCAAGGUUGAAGUCAUCCAUUCAUGUUUCAUUUGUUAGUGACUGUGGCCUUCCGGAGGCUGGUUUGGACUACGGUGGGCUAUCUAAAGAGUUUCUGACAGAUAUAUCAAAAUCUGCCUUUUCCCCUGAGCAUGGGCUAUUUUCACAAACCUCAACUUCGGAGAGACAUCUAAUUCCCAAUCCAACUGCAAAAUAUCUAGAGAAUGGUAUCCAGAUGAUUGAAUUUCUCGGAAGAGUUGUUGGGAAAGCUCUAUAUGAAGGAAUAUUACUAGAUUACUCUUUUUCACAUGUGUUUGUUCAAAAGCUGUUAGGCCGAUAUAGCUUUCUUGAUGAACUAUCAACACUUGAUCCAGAGCUGUACAGGAAUGUCUUGUAUGUGAAGCAUUAUGAUGGUGACGUCAAGGACCUCUCCCUUGACUUCACAGUCACUGAAGAAUUAUUUGGUAAACGGCAUGUCAUUGAGCUGAAACCUGGGGGCAAGGAUGUUUGUGUGUCAAAUGAGAACAAGAUGCAGUAUGUUCAUGCAAUGGCUGAUUAUAAACUCAAUCGACAGAUAUUGCCCUUUUCAAAUGCAUUUUAUAGAGGGCUAGCUGAUCUUAUAUCACCAUCUUGGUUGAAGUUGUUCAAUGCAAGUGAAUUUAAUCAGUUACUUUCAGGUGGUGACCUUGACAUUGAUGUUGAUGAUUUAAGAAAUUACACACGAUACACAGGUGGCUAUUCUGAGGGGAGUCGAACAAUUAAACUUUUUUGGGAGGUAAUUAAAGGAUUUGAACCAAAUGAACGCUGUAUGCUGCUUAAAUUUGUGACCAGCUGUUCUCGAGCUCCAUUACUUGGAUUCAAACACUUGCAGCCAUCCUUUACAAUCCAUAAGGUCUCAUGUGAUGCCUCUCUUUGGGCAACAAUUGGAGGACAAGAUGUGGAGCGGCUUCCAUCAGCUUCUACCUGCUACAAUACUCUCAAGCUUCCAACAUACAAACGUGCAAGCACUUUGAGAGCAAAAAUUCUUUAUGCAAUCAAUUCAAAUACUGGAUUUGAACUUUCUUAAGGAUCUCUUGAUCUUUGACUUGUUUUGGCUAAGAAGCACUACUGAAUAGCCCUGUUACUAGCUAACAAGGUUUCACAUGGCCAUGAGAAUACUUCAAUUGUUAAUUUCAUUCCAUAGUUUUUUGGGCCCUCCAAGAGGGGGAACCUUUUGAUUAUCGCUCGCCUCUUGAUCAUUUCCUAGAGUGUGGUAGAUAUCUAAGGCCACAGUUUGAGGCAAGGGAGUGCGUUGACCAGGGCCUCACAAUUGCUGUUAAUUUGUAGUUGAACAAACUAGUCUCAUGGUUUAGCCACUUAAACCACUGUUGCUUCCCGCAUGGGACAGGUUGUGAGCUUCACGCAAACACCUCUUUUUGGCUGCAUGGUUGUCGCUCCAAUCCUUCUUGCUCCAAGUUCUUCAAUAUUCAGUCUCUACACCUUGUUGGAAACAACUUUGUGCUUCAAAGAAGAUAAAGAAGAGGAUCGCAUUUGUCCAGGUAUUCAAAUCUCUCUAGUUGUGUGUACAUAUUUGAGAACAGCAUCAUGUAAUUAAUGCUUCUAGUUUAUUAUUCUGGAAUCUCCCAUCAUUGAAUAUAGAUAGAUUGAUUUGUGUUA